rnacentral:rRNA from 1 species
GGAACGCGAUGAACCUUACCAGGUCUUGACAUCUUUUGAUCACCUGAGAGAUCAGGUUUCCCUUUCGGGGGCAAAAUGACAGGUGGUGCAUGGUUGUCGUCAGCUCGUGUCGUGAGAUGUUGGGUUAAGUCCCGCAACGAGCGCAACCCUUAUGACUAGUUGCCAGCAUUUAGUUGGGCACUCUAGUAAGACUGCCGGUGACAAACCGGAGGAAGGUGGGGAUGACGUCAAAUCAUCAUGCCUCUUAUGACCUGGGCUACACACGUGCUACAAUGGACGAUACAACGAGUCGCGAAACCGCGAGGUCAAGCUAAUCUCUUAAAGCCGUUCUCAGUUCGGAUUGUAGGCUGCAACUCGCCUACAUGAAGUUGGAAUCG